UACAGAGGUCCCAAGCGUUGUUCGGAUUCACUGGGCGUAAAGGGUGCGUAGGUGGUUGGGUAAGUCUGAUGUGAAAUCUCCGGGCUCAACCCGGAAAUGGCAUUGGAUACUAUUCGGCUAGAGGUUUGGAGGGGGGACUGGAAUUCUCGGUGUAGCAGUGAAAUGCGUAGAUAUCGAGAGGAACACCAGUGGCGAAGGCGAGUCCCUGGACAACUCCUGACACUGAGGCACGAAAGCUAGGGGAGCAAACAGG
rnacentral:rRNA from 1 species